rnacentral:rRNA from 1 species
UGGCGGCAGGCCUAACACAUGCAAGUCGAACGGGACCUUCGGGUCUAGUGGCGGACGGGUGAGUAACGCGUGGGAACGUGCCCUUUGGUUCGGAAUAGCCUCGGGAAACUGGGAGUAAUACCGGAUACGGUCGAGAGACGAAAGAUUUAUCGCCGAAGGAUCGGCCCGCGUUGGAUUAGGUAGUUGGUGGGGUAAAGGCCUACCAAGCCGACGAUCCAUAGCUGGUUUGAGAGGAUGAUCAGCCACACUGGGACUGAGACACGGCCCAGACUCCUACGGGAGGCAGCAGUGGGGGAAUCUUAGACAAUGGGGAAACCCUGAUCUAGCCAUGCCGCGUGAUCGAUGAAGGCCUUAGGGUUGUAAAGAUCUUUCAGUGGGGAAGAUAAUGACGGUACCCACAGAAGAAGCCCCGGCUAACUCCGUG